UACGAAGGGGGCUAGCGUUGCUCGGAAUCACUGGGCGUAAAGCGCACGUAGGCGGAUUGUUAAGUCGGGGGUGAAAUCCCGAGGCUCAACCUCGGAACUGCCUUCGAUACUGGCAAUCUUGAGUCCGGGAGAGGUGAGUGGAACUGCGAGUGUAGAGGUGAAAUUCGUAGAUAUUCGCAAGAACACCAGUGGCGAAGGCGGCUCACUGGCCCGGUACUGACGCUGAGGUGCGAAAGCGUGGGGAGCGAACAGG
rnacentral:rRNA from 1 species